rnacentral:rRNA from 1 species
UACGUAGGGGGCAAGCGUUGUCCGGAUUUAUUGGGCGUAAAGAGCGUGUAGGCGGCUGGGUAGGUCCGUUGUGAAAACUCGGGGCUCAACUCCGAGCUUGCAGUCGAUACGGGCAGGCUAGAGUUCGGCAGGGGAGACUGGAAUUCCUGGUGUAGCGGUGAAAUGCGCAGAUAUCAGGAGGAACACCGGUGGCGAAGGCGGGUCUCUGGGCCGAUACUGACACUGAGGAGCGAAAGCGUGGGGAGCGAACAGG